CCUACGGGUGGCAGCAGUGAGGAAUAUUGGUCAAUGGACGAGAGUCUGAACCAGCCAAGUAGCGUGAAGGAUGACUGCCCUAUGGGUUGUAAACUUCUUUUAUAAAGGAAUAAAACGAGGCACGUGUGCCUUUUUGCAUGUACUUUAUGAAUAAGGAUCGGCUAACUCCGUGCCAGCAGCCGCGGUAAUACGGAGGAUCCGAGCGUUAUCCGGAUUUAUUGGGUUUAAAGGGAGCGUAGAUGGGUUGUUAAGUCCGUUGUGAAAGGUUGCGGCUCAACCGUAAAAUUGCAAUUGAAACUGGCAGUCUUGAGUACAGUUGAGGUAGGCGGAAUUCGUGGUGUAGCGGUGAAAUGCUUAGAUAUCACGAAGAACCCCGAUUGCGAAGGCAGCUUACUAAACUGUGACUGACAUUGAUGCUCGAAGGUGUGGGUAUCAAACAGGAUUAGAUACCCUUGUAGUC
rnacentral:rRNA from 1 species